rnacentral:rRNA from 1 species
AGUGAACGCUGGCGGUAGGCCUAACACAUGCAAGUCGAACGGCAGCACAGUAAGAGCUUGCUCUUACGGGUGGCGAGUGGCGGACGGGUGAGGAAUACAUCGGAAUCUACUUUUUCGUGGGGGAUAACGUAGGGAAACUUACGCUAAUACCGCAUACGACCUACGGGUGAAAGCAGGGGAUCUUCGGACCUUGCGCGAUUGAAUGAGCCGAUGUCGGAUUAGCUAGUUGGCGGGGUAAAGGCCCACCAAGGCGACGAUCCGUAGCUGGUCUGAGAGGAUGAUCAGCCACGCUGGAACUGAGACACGGUCCAGACUCCUACGGGAGGCAGCAGUGGGGAAUAUUGGACAAUGGGCGCAAGCCUGAUCCAGCCAUACCGCGUGGGUGAAGAAGGCCUUCGGGUUGUAAAGCCCUUUUGUUGGGAAAGAAAAGCAGCAGGUUAAUACCCCGCUGUUCUGACGUUACCCAAAGAAUAAGCACCGGCUAACUUCGUG